UACGUAGGGGGCAAGCGUUGUCCGGAUUUAUUGGGCGUAAAGAGCGUGUAGGCGGCCUGAAAGGUCAGCUGUGAAAACUCGAGGCUCAACCUCGAGACGUCGGUUGAAACCAUCUGGCUAGAGUCCGGAAGAGGAGAGUGGAAUUCCCGGUGUAGCGGUGAAAUGCGCAGAUAUCGGGAAGAACACCCGUGGCGAAGGCGGCUCUCUGGGACGGUGCUGACGCUGAGACGCGAAAGCGUGGGGAGCGAACAGG
rnacentral:rRNA from 1 species